rnacentral:rRNA from 1 species
CUAAGUACCUGGAGGAAGAGAAAGAAAAAUCGAUUUCCUGAGUAGCGGCGAGCGAAACGGAAAGAGCCCAAACCAAGAAGCUUGCUUCUUGGGGUUGUAGGACACUCUAUACGGAGUUACAAAAGAAAGUUAUAAAUGAAGCGGUCUGGAAAGGCCCGCCAAAGACGGUAACAGCCCGGUAGUUGAAAUGGCUUUCCCUCCAGAGUGGAUCCUGAGUACGGCGGAACACGUGAAAUUCCGUCGGAAUCCGGGAGGACCAUCUCCCAAGGCUAAAUACUCCCUAGUGACCGAUAGUGAACCAGUACCGUGAGGGAAAGGUGAAAAGCACCCCGGAAGGGGAGUGAAACAGUUCCUGAAACCGUGUGCCUACAAGUAGUUAGAGCCCGUUAAUGGGUGAUAGCGUGCCUUUUGUAGAAUGAACCGGCGAGUUACGAUUUGUUGCAAGGUUAAGCGGAAAAAGCGGAGCCGUAGCGAAAGCGAGUCUGAAUAGGGCGCAUAAGUAACAGGUCGUAGACCCGAAACCAGGUGAUCUACCCAUGUCCAGGAUGAAGGUAAGGUAAUACUUACUGGAGGUCCGAACCCACGCACGUUGAAAAGUGCGGGGAUGAGGUGUGGGUAGCGGAGAAAUUCCAAUCGAACUUGGAGAUAGCUGGUUCUCUCCGAAAUAGCUUUAGGGCUAGCCUCGAGGUAAAGAGUCAUGGAGGUAGAGCACUGUUUGGACUAGGGGCCCUUCUCGGGUUACCGAAUUCAGAUAAACUCCGAAUGCCAUGUACUUAUACUCGGGAGUCAGACUGCGAGUGAUAAGAUCCGUAGUCGAAAGGGAAACAGCCCAGACCACCAGUUAAGGUCCCCAAAUAUAUGUUAAGUGGAAAAGGAUGUGGGGUUGCUUAGACAACCAGGAUGUUGGCUUAGAAGCAGCCACCAUUGAAAGAGUGCGUAAUAGCUCACUGGUCGAGUGACCCCGCGCCGAAAAUGUACCGGGGCUAAACAUAUUA